rfam:Eutrema salsugineum unplaced genomic scaffold scaffold_2, whole genome shotgun sequence.
AACCCAUGGUGAGGGCACUGGUUUGUAUAGCUUCUGAAUCUCUCACAGGCUUUACGAAAUGUCUCAUUGUUGUUUUGUAUGAAGGAAGAGAUCUGAUUCUUGAGCUU